GAGAGAGACCCAGUGAGAGGGAGAGGCACAAGCGAGAGGGAGGUAGAAGAGGGAGGUGCAAUACUUCCAGGCGAAAGAGUUGCUGCCGUUAAUCAAGGGCACAUCUUUAACACGCAGAUCUGCAACACACUCAAAGACUGGACACGUUCUCCUACUUGUCAUCUACAGUCACUAGGAGGAAGAAUGUGAAGAAGAGCUCUUUACCAUGAAGUAAUGACACCCAUACGUACAAACAUCCAGGAGUAGGCCCGUCACGUGGCAGGAGAAAAACACCACCGAAGCGAUGACAAAAAUAAGAAGCUAUUAAAAAUAAAUAUAAUCACAAACUCUUUCACGGCAAAAUAGAACAAACGCUAUCAAUUCAGACGAAAAAAUGAAUACCCCAGGGACACCAGGAUCCAGAGAGCCGCAGAAAUCGCUGGGCAAAACUACGAGAAAUGCCCCCGAAAAACCAACUUGUUGCCAGAUUUUCACUGCUGCUGUGCAGAGAGUUGAAGGCAGAGGGUUAAAAUCCAGCGAGUAGUAAAAAAAAAAAAAAAAAAAAAAACCUCUCCCUCUGUGGAAGGGCGGGCAGCUGUGGGGAGGCCCUGACUGUAGAAAUAGCAGCAGAUUUUUUUUUCCCCCGUGGAGCUCUAGUCUCCCCCUUGCGUGCGGCUGGAGCUGAGAAAAGGGGAGCGAGCAAGAGAAGAGAGGAGAGGAGGAGAGCAGGCGCAGAGUGAAGGAGAGAAAAGCUCGACUGAUGAUGAAAUAGGAGGUGCGGCGGAGCGCAAGAGCCAGACACUUUUUCAUUACACGUCUAACACGGCAAGGAACUGUAUAUGCACUUCAGAGAGAGAGAGAGAGAGAGAGAGAGAGGGAGGGAGGGAGGGAGAGAGAAGGCUGGGAGACAGACACUGAGAGGGAGAGAGAGAGAGAGAGAGACGGGGAGAGCGGGAGGGCGGAAAACAGGCGAAGGUGGGAGGGGGAGGAGGAAGAACGACACAGCAAUCCACUCCUCCUCCUCCAGCAGUGCGCAGGCGCAGUGAACACUGCACACACCAUACUAGCACACUGCACACUCCGACAGUCAACUAGAGACAUAUGCAGACAACAAGAGGGAAUGGAGAGAGAAGAGAAAACAGAGUGGACUGCCCUGCUGAGGGACCAUGGAAAUACACUUGUGGGAGCAGGAGCUCGAAAAAAGAAAGAAAGAAAAAAGAAAACUGUAAAAUAUCUGCAUGUUGUGGACUUAUUUUGAUGGCUUACAUCUUUAAUGCCAAAUGAGAAGUUAAAGAGGGGAGCAGGGGACUCAUGCCUGUCAAAGAAAAAGGUGGGGGAAAACUCUUCUUUUGCUCCUUUUAGUGUGUUGUAGAUUUUGGAUGGUUUAUGGAAGACAUUGUGCUGUUUGUUAGGUUGACUCAGAAAGAAUUACCAAACAUGGCUGCUUCUGCCUCUGGCUCUCGCCUCGUCUUCAGUCAGACUGUCUGUGAGGGGCACUUUUCCGAACGCAGCCUCCCGUUCAUUCCUCGCUGGCUUUCUAUGUCUUCCUCCCUCGCUAACUGACCGGCAACACCUCUGAUCGCUUAAUCUGAGGACUCUCUCCCCCUCUCUUCAAAACAAGGUUGAAAAAGAUAGAGGUAGCUACAUUUAAUGGACCUGCCGAUAGCAGGGGGGGAAAGCAAUAUUUUACUUACUGAAGUGAUCGUGCAGCUGAGUUAGGGCAUUAUUAACAGCUUUUCUAGUCUUCUUUUGAAAACAGAGACACAAUGGUUUGGAUGUGUCUGUUUUUGGAAUGAGCUAGAACCUAGAACCCUAUCCAAAGCAACGCAGUCUCACGUCACAUCUCGCCAUGUGUUUUUAACCAAUUGAAAAAGCCAUGUCUUUGAGUUUGAAUACAAAACGAUGUACAGUUUAUGGAUAUAGAAUAUACAUGUUUUUUUUUUACACUACAUAUUUACUGAGAAUAUGGAUGUACUGUAUGCAACGCUCAGCUCAGUUUUAGUAGAGACAAAAAAGACAUGGAACUAUAAAUUUGCUUUAGAUGUUGGUUUGGAAAUAUCUGUAGUAGAAAUUUACCUUAGUGUGCAUGUAGCACUUUGCAUUUGCAAGAAGUUCACUUGAGGAUAGGGUUUUGGUUUUUGGUGGCCUGCCAACUUUUACCACUGUGUGCCUCUAGCUUGCUCCCCUCUUCUCUACUCACGUUGCAUUUGUCUGUAAUUAAUUACAUGCUCUUUCAUUAUAUUUAAUCUGUACACUUUGUGUGUUUGUAAAUUACCCUAACCAUGCCUUCUUUCAAAUAAUAAAUUAAGCAAUUUCAA